GAAGCUAUAGCUCAGUGGUAAAGUGCAUGCUUAACAAGCAUGAGGUCCUGGGUUCAAUCCCCAGUAACUCCA
rfam:Camelus ferus unplaced genomic scaffold scaffold418, whole genome shotgun sequence.